rnacentral:rRNA from 1 species
CGUAGGGGCGAGCGUUGUCCGGAAUCAUUGGGCGUAAAGAGCGUGUAGGCGGCCCGGUAAGUCCGCUGUGAAAACCCGGGGCUCAACCCCGGGCGUGCAGUGGAAACUGCCGGGCUAGAGGGCGGCAGAGGCGAGUGGAAUUCCCGGUGUAGCGGUGAAAUGCGCAGAUAUCGGGAGGAACACCGGUAGCGAAGGCGGCUCGCUGGGGCCGUUCCUGACGCUGAGACGCGAAAGCUAGGGGAGCGAACAGGAUU